AAUGAACGUUGGCGGCGUGGAUUAGGCAUGCAAGUCGUGCGGAAAGGCUCCUUCGGGAGUACUCGAGCGGCGUAAGGGAGAGUAACGCGUGGAUAUCUACCCCCUGGACUGGGAUAGCGGCGGGAAACUGCCGGUAAUACCAGAUAAUGUCUGCGGACCAAAGGUGUGAUUCCGCCGGGGGAUGAGUUCGCGUCCUAUUAGCUAGUUGGUAGGGUAAUGGCCUACCAAGGCAAAGAUGGGUACCGGGUGUGAGAGCAUGGCCCGGCUCACUGGGACUGAGACACUGCCCAGACACCUACUGGUGGCUGCAGUCGAGAAUCUUCGGCAAUGGGCGCAAGCCUGACCGAGCGACGCCGCGUGCGGGAUGAAGGCCUUCGGGUUGUAAACCGCUGUCAGAGGGGAGGAAAUGCGUGAGAGUUCUCUCUCACGUUUGACCUAUCCUCAGAGGAAGUACGGGCUAAGUUCGUGCCAGCCGCCGCGGUAACAC
rnacentral:rRNA from 1 species